AUUGGACGCUGGCGGCAGGCCUAACACAUGCAAGUCGAGCGGAUGAAGGGAGCUUGCUCCUGGAUUCAGCGGCGGACGGGUGAGUAAUGCCUAGGAAUCUGCCUGGUAGUGGGGGAUAACGUCCGGAAACGGGCGCUAAUACCGCAUACGUCCUGAGGGAGAAAGUGGGGGAUCUUCGGACCUCACGCUAUCAGAUGAGCCUAGGUCGGAUUAGCUAGUUGGUGGGGUAAAGGCCUACCAAGGCGACGAUCCGUAACUGGUCUGAGAGGAUGAUCAGUCACACUGGAACUGAGACACGGUCCAGACUCCUACGGGAGGCAGCAGUGGGGAAUAUUGGACAAUGGGCGAAAGCCUGAUCCAGCCAUGCCGCGUGUGUGAAGAAGGUCUUCGGAUUGUAAAGCACUUUAAGUUGAGAGGAAGGGCAGUAAGUUAAUACCUUGCUGUUUUGACGUUACCAACAGAAUAAGCACCGGCUAACUUCGUG
rnacentral:rRNA from 1 species